UACGUAGGGUGCGAGCGUUGUCCGGAUUUAUUGGGCGUAAAGAGCUCGUAGGUGGUCUGUUGCGUCGGUUGUGAAAACCCGGGGCUUAACUCCGGGCCUGCAGUCGAUACGGGCAGACUAGAGUUCGGUAGGGGAGACUGGAAUUCCUGGUGUAGCGGUGAAAUGCGCAGAUAUCAGGAGGAACACCGGUGGCGAAGGCGGGUCUCUGGGCCGAUACUGACGCUGAGGAGCGAAAGCGUGGGGAGCGAACAGG
rnacentral:rRNA from 1 species